CACUGAAGCGAUGCAGAAAAAAUAGGAUUGGUGUCUAUUUUUGCGAUUUUGUCGCACGGCAGCUAGGAAACUGACCAAUGAGGAACAGCUUUCCUUGCGCACCUUUUUCAGUAAACAAUGGCGGAAGAAAAUAUCAUUCUUGCAGUAUCAAAAUACCCAGAGCUGUACAAUAAAGGACACAGAAAUUACAAAGACACGGCAAUGAGGGAGAACACCUGGCAGUCUAUUUCCUGGGAACUGGACAUAGCUGAGUUUAAUUUGAUAUGAAAUCAAAAUGGCGUCCUCGAUCCCACGACCAAGCCAGUUUCCUCUUUUACAACCAGGAACUCGAGAGCGGAUGUCAGAGAGCUACCGGACUCUGAAGGACAUUGGCCAGCUCUGUAGGUGUUUGCCUGAGCUCACUGGUCACCUGGCCGGUAGGGUGAGGAGAAACAAUCCCUACCAGUUUUGCCUCCCUAAUCCGCGGAACGCCAGAGCCAACGCAACGCUCCCUUCCAGAAUCCCCAGCGAAGACUGACAGCUUCGCACAGCCAGGACAUGAACCUGCAUUGCCCUGACUGUAUGACUCACACUGCACACCACACAGCUGUGCUUUUACCAGUGGAUCAUAGAACCUUUCCAGCAGCUGUAUGAUGGUGCUCUUCCCACAGCUGCUGCUACCCACCAGUGCCAGAGUCUGUCCCUUCUCCACCUUUAAACUGAGCCCCUGCAAUAUCUGCACGUUGGGGCGGGAAGGGUAGUUGAACACCACAUCUUCAAACUUGAUGUUGCCAUCAACUUGUUUCUAGUAAGAUAAUAAGGGAAAUGGUUUUGUGAAAAUAAAUUAUAAAAUAAUUUUAGAAUAACAAUACUUUGAAUGCCUUUGAAUACAUAAAGACAUCCACAGAACAAGUGCCAGUGUGAAGGAAACACUCAGAACUCAAUGAGAUCUUUAAAAGUACCAAAGCGCAGCACUGCAGAAGCAGUGGAUUUAGUGAGUUACAUUAAAAGGAACACAAUCAAUGUGUCCCAUCUGCUCUGCUCCUGUUGGAAUACCCCCUGUACUGUACAAUAUUAUCAACAAACCUGACGUUAUGAUUGACACUAAAAAUAAAUAGUUACCAUUUGAAACACUUAAUGAGAUAUGGGGCCCUAUUCACAAAAGUGUUUCAGGAAAUGUUUUGUUAAUGUUUUGUGUUUUUUUUCUCUGUUUUAGGAGUAGUCUAUUCUCACUUUCAGGGUAAAGAACUGUUUAACCUGAAAACAUGUAUGGAAGUGACAGUACUUCAAACGUAUUUACAGGGUACAGAACUGCUUUGCUUUUUUAAUUUAAAUUGUGAUGCUUUAAUGCAUUCCAGACAUAUUUUGUAAUCAUGAGCAUGCUCCUCUUUUAAUAUGUGACCCAAAAUUGUGUCUGAUAAAUAUGCAAACAUACUGGCUGGUCUCCAUCGUCAGAGUCAUUGUCUAUGGCUGGAACUCUGUUUAACAGCAUAAACAAGUGGGAUGCAGAUACUAUGGCCUUGGCAUAGUUGGGACCGAAGGAAGUGGCCUCUCCUACUGCAAGAGCUCCAAACACAAGGGCUGAAAUGACA